UCCUCUUUACAGAGGCAGUUUGUUCCGAGUUCCCGACAUUACUCGCUGGCAACAGAACAUGAGGGUUGCGCUCGUUGCGGGACUUAACCCAACAUUUCACAACACGAGCUGACGACAGCCAUGCACCACCUGUGUAUCACCCUCGAAGGCGACUACUUUUCGGUAGCUUGCAGAUACAUGUCAAGCCCUGGUAAGGUGGGGAUGACGUGAGGUAGC
rnacentral:misc_RNA from 1 species